UGGGGAAUAUUGCACAAUGGGCGCAAGCCUGAUGCAGCCAUGCCGCGUGUGUGAAGAAGGCCUUCGGGUUGUAAAGCACUUUCAGCGGGGAGGAAGGCGAUAAGGUUAAUAACCUUGUCGAUUGACGUUACCCGCAGAAGAAGCACCGGCUAACUCCGUGCCAGCAGCCGCGGUAAUACGGAGGGUGCAAGCGUUAAUCGGAAUUACUGGGCGUAAAGCGCACGCAGGCGGUCUGUCAAGUCGGAUGUGAAAUCCCCGGGCUUAACCUGGGAACUGCAUUCGAAACUGGCAGGCUAGAGUCUUGUAGAGGGGGGUGGAAUUCCGGGUGUAGCGGUGAAAUGCGUAGAGAUCUGGAGGAAUACCGGUGGCGAAGGCGGCCCCCUGGACGAAGACUGACGCUCAGGUGCGAAAGCGUGGGGAGCAAACAGG
rnacentral:rRNA from 1 species